ACUCUCACACACAGCUCCGUCAUAGAGUCACACUGUUGUCGUCUAACUGGACAGUAAACACACACACACACAGUCGCAGGAUGGCUGCUGCGUCGCCUCGCCGAUGUCCAACGCCUCAGACCUUCAUCAUCGUCCUCUUCGUCCUGUCAGGUGGACACCUGUGGUCUGUUUCCUGUUUUAAAGUGGCAGAGGGGGGCAUGGCCUCUCUGUCCUGUCACUACUCGGUGAAGCGUUAUGGUCUGAGCCGGGUCUGCUGGGGUCGCGGCUGCGGGACAUUCUGGUGCAACAACAUCCUGGUGCAGACGGACGAGAACGGUGUCAUCUCCAAGGUGGCAGACCGGUACCGGCUCAAUGGGGACGUCCUGGACGGACAGAUGGACCUGGACAUCCUGAAUGUGAGGCGGACAGACAGCGGGCCGUACUGCUGCAGGGUGGACAUCGACGGGAUGUUCAACGACAAGAAGGUGAUCAUGAACCUGAGAGUAGUCAAAGCUCCGGUCACCAGUUCACCUCCAACCACAACAACAGCAACAACCAGUCGAGUGACGGAGCCGUCCACCUCCACAGUAAACUGGAAAUCUCUGCUGUCGUCUCAACUGGACCUUCUGAGGAGGAACUCCACCCGGCUGCUGUCCGACACCGUCACUGUGGAGGACUCUCUAUCCUCUCUCUCCCUGCAGAUCAAUGUUCCCGUCCUCUCGCUCUCCCUCAGCGUGUUGCUGAUCUUGGCCGCAGUUUUUCUCUUUCUGGCUUUCAAACGUGGAAUAUACAGAAGAGCCUUGAAGAGCGGCUGUUUCUCCUCUGAAGAACCUCCUCACAUCAUUUAUGAGAUCCGGAUGAGAAGACCGGUGCAGGAGAACAUCUACACCCUGGACUAGAGAGCCCGGUUCACACCUGGACCACAAAUAAACUGGAUUUACAGAGAAAGAGUGCACAUUAAACCUUUACAUUACAUUAAAUAAAUCACACACACACUAUUCUCCAUAAAGUCAGAUGUGUUUGGCUGCUGGUUUUAAUUCAGUGUGUGAAAUAAUAAUCUGACAAUCGGGGGUCCGGUGCCGUCAACAGUGAUUAAAAAUAACAUCAGCCACUUAUUUUUCCUCCUAUAUGUUACACAGAUUUAUCUGUAAACCAACAGUGAAAUUAUUUUUCAUUAGUUUUUAUUUUCAUUUGGUUUCAUUUCAGGUUUUUAUUGUUUUAAAAUGUUUAAUUUUUGUUUAUUUAUUUAUUUUCAAAUGACAAUAUAGGGGUGUGUGUCAGAAUAUGUAUACAUUGACUCACAGUGAAGCCGAUCAUUGGUUCCCAACCUGAGGGUCGGGAGCGCCACUAGGGGUCACCAAAGCUUUUUAAAGAUCCUCCAUGAAACAAGAAGUUGUUUGUGUUUCCUGUAAGAACAGGAAGUAGGGAAGACUGAUUGAACACAAUCUCCGAGAUCGACAGAGAAUCCAGUACCGAGGUGGUUCUCCUACCGGGUUUGGUUCCUGGCGUCCCGGGGGGUAUAAAUGUUUUCGUUGGUUUGGAGGAGACAUCUCUUUCUUCUGGAUCUUUGGAGGGAAAGUCGUCCAACCAAUCGAACCACGGAGAACUUCCUGUAGACCUGCACACAUGGCUUCAUUCAAGUUCACCCUGCUGGCCUUGCUGGCCAUCGGACUCAUACUUUCAGUCGCCUCAGAGUCGUCAUCAGAAGAAGAAUCUGAAGACGGAGGAGAAGCUGGAGAGAAGAGUUCUACAACAGCAGAACAACCUACAGGACAACCUGGAUCGUCUCCAACACCCAAAGUCUCACAACCUGAAGCGUCUGUGAAACCUGCACCUUCCUCCCAACCCAAGAAAAAAUAGGUUUAUACGAGGAAUGCAUCAGAAAUCCGUCCCCUAUGAAUAUUGCUAAUUAUAAGAGGUAAAGAAAACAUAUUCAUACAAAGAAUACAAAUUCAAACAACUCUAAAUUAGGAUAUAGAGUCAUCAGUCAGCUCCCGAAUAGGAUAAAGGGCCAUUAUAACCUGCGGCGUCCCACAGGGAUCUACCCUCGGGCCACUCCUUUUCCUUAUUCAUACGGCUGCUGCAUCGUCCUCUAUGUACCGAAUACUUGUUGCAGAUGACACCAGUGUAUUUCUCUGUACAGCCAAAGCUGAUGCUGAUUGAGGAAGAAUUUUAAAAUGGUUCCAGUUAAUCAAGAUAUCUCUCAGUGUCAAUAAAUCAGAUUUGAUCACAUUUACAUGAAAUAAAUAAGUUUUCAUUUGAGUCCUGAUUGAUAAAACUGAGCUUGAAGAGUCACAUUUGGUUUGUUUGCAAUAAAUUAACCAAAUCUUUUGACAUCAUUGGCAAAUAUCAUAGUUUGGUCCAUUAGAAGUCCUUUUAACUCUUUAUUAUAGCUUUGUUUAUCUCAUAUAGUGCAGUAACAUUUGGGGAGUAACUUAAACAUUUACUUAUGUUUUUUGCUUUAUUUACAUUGCUUACUUUACUUUUUCUGUACUUGGAGUACAUUCAUUAACUAUCUGCUUAUGAUGCUAUUCUAUCUCACCUGCACAGUUUGCUUCUUCUCUCUUGUUUGUGAUUCUGCUGUUGUGUUUUACUGCGCAAAUAAAUAAAUCUGAACCUGAAUCACCUGUGAA